UGGGGAAUCUUCCGCAAUGGACGAAAGUCUGACGGAGCAACGCCGCGUGAGUGAAGAAGGUUUUCGGAUCGUAAAACUCUGUCUUUUGGGGCGAACGUGAGUAUGGUGAACAAUCAUAGUCAGUGACGGUACCAAAGGAGGAAGCCACGGCUAACUACGUGCCAGCAGCCGCGGUAAUACGUAGGUGGCAAGCGUUGUCCGGAAUUAUUGGGCGUAAAGAGCGCGUAGGCGGGAUAGUCAGUCUGUUGUAAAGUGCGGGGCUCAACCCCGUGAUCGCAAUGGAAACAGCUAUUCUUGAGUGCAGGAGAGGAAAGUGGAAUUCCCAGUGUAGCGGUGAAAUGCGUAGAUAUUGGGAGGAACACCAGUGGCGAAGGCGACUUUCUGGACUGUGUCUGACGCUGAGGCGCGAAAGCCAGGGGAGCGAACGGGAUUAGAUACCCCCGGUAGUCCUGGCCGUAAACGAUGGGUACUAGGUGUGGGAGGUAUCGACCCCUUCCGUGCCGGAGUUAACGCAAUAAGUACCCCGCCUGGGGAGUACGGUCGCAAGACUGAAACUCAAAGGAAUUGACGGGGUCAUAGCUGUUUCCUG
rnacentral:rRNA from 1 species